UGGGGAAUAUAGGGCAAUGGGCGCAAGCCUGACCCAGCCACGCCGCGUGAGUGAUGAAGGCCUUCGGGUCGUAAAGCUCUGUGGGGAGGGACGAAAAACUUGUCCGCUAAUCAGGACGAGCCUGACGGUACCUCCUUAGCACGCACCGGCUAACUCCGUGCCAGCAGCCGCGGUAAGACGAAGGGGGCUCGCGUUGUUCGGAAUUACUGGGCGUAAAGCGAGUGUAGGCGGUUGCCCAAGUCAGGUGUGAAAGCCUUGAGCUCAACUCAAGAAAUGCACUUGGUACUGGGUGGCUAGAGGACCGGGGAGGAUAGUGGAAUUCCCAGUGUAGUGGUGAAAUACGUAGAGAUUGGGAAGAACACCAGUGGCGAAGGCGGCUAUCUGGACGGUUACUGACGCUAAGACUCGAAAGCGUGGGGAGCAAA
rnacentral:rRNA from 1 species